rnacentral:rRNA from 1 species
UCAAUAAGCGGAGGAAAAGAAACUAACAAGGAUUCCCCUAGUAGCGGCGAGCGAAGCGGGAAGAGCUCAAAUUUGUAAUCUGGCGCUUUCAGCGUCCGAGUUGUAAUCUCUAGAAAUGUUUUCCGCGUUGCACCGCACACAAGUCUGUUGGAAUACAGCGGCACAGUGGUGAGACCCCCGUUCAUGGUGCGGAUGCGCAAUGCUUUGUGAUACAUUUUCGAAGAGUCGAGUUGUUUGGGAAUGCAGCUCAAAUUGGGUGGUAAAUUCCAUCUAAAGCUAAAUAUUGGCGAGAGACCGAUAGCGAACAAGUACCGUGAGGGAAAGAUGAAAAGCACUUUGGAAAGAGAGUUAACAGUACGUGAAAUUGUUGGAAGGGAAACGCUUGAAGUCAGACUUGCUGUUCGGAGUUCAGCCGCAAGGUGUACUCUCCGAGUUGCAGGCCAGCAUCAGUUUUUCGGGGUGGAAAAUCACGGUUUGAAGGUAGCAGUUUCGGCUGUGUUAUAGCUUUCCGUUGGAUACAUCCUGGGGGACUGAGGAACGCAGUGUGCUUUUAGCAGGGGUUUCGACCUCUUCACACUUAGGAUGCUGGUGGAAUGGCUUUAAMCGACCCGUCUUGAAACAC